CCCGACUGCUAUUUGGGUGAGGAUAAGCCAUGCGAGUCGAAUGGGAUACCUAAAUUUCCCAUGGCGAACUGCUCAGUAACACAUGAUCAACUUAACCUAUUGAGAAAGAUAACCUCGGGAAACUGAGGAUAAUAUUUCAUAGUUGAAUUGGCUUGGAAAAGUUUUUCAACAAAAGGGAUAGGGAAAAUGGUCUCUAUCCGCUAUAGGAUAGGAUCGUGUUCGAUUAUGGUAGUUGGUGAGGUAACGGCUCACCAAGCCGAUAAUCGAUAGGGGCCGUGAGAGCGGGAGCCCCGAGAUGGGUACUGAGACAACGACCCAGGCCUUACGAGGCGCAGCAGGUACGAAACCUCCACAAUACACGAAAGUGUGAUGGGGUUACCCAAAGUGUUCAUUAUUGAACUGUGGUAGGAGAGUAAUGUCCCCUACUAGAAAGGAGAGGGCAAGGCUGGUGCCAGCCGCCGCGGUAAAACCAGCUCUUCAAGUGGUCGGGAUAAUAUUGGGCUUAAAGUGUCCGUAGCCGGUUUAGUAAGUUCCUGGUAAAAUCGGGUAGCUUAACUAUCUGUAUGCUAGGAAUACUGCUAUACUAGAGGGCGGGAGAGGUCUGAGGUACUACAGGGGUAAGGGUGAAAUCUUAUAAUCCUUGUAGGACCACCAGUGGCGAAGGCGUCAGACUGGAGCGCGCCUGACGGUGAGGGACGAAAGCCAGGGGAGCGAACCGGAUUAGAUACCCGGGUAUUCCUGGCCGUAAACGAUGCAUACUAGGUGAUGGUAUGGCUAUGAGCCAUAUCAGUGCCGUAGGGAAACCGUUAAGUGUGCCGCCUGGGAAGUACGGUCGCAAGGCCAAAACUUAAAGGAAUUGGCGGGGGAGCACCACAAGGGGUGAAGCCUGCGGUUCA
rnacentral:rRNA from 1 species